rnacentral:rRNA from 1 species
AGUGAACGCUGGCGGUAGGCUUAACACAUGCAAGUCGAACGGCAGCACAGUAAGAGCUUGCUCUUACGGGUGGCGAGUGGCGGACGGGUGAGGAAUACAUCGGAAUCUACUUUUUCGUGGGGGAUAACGUAGGGAAACUUACGCUAAUACCGCAUACGACCUACGGGUGAAAGCAGGGGAUCUUCGGACCUUGCGCGAUUGAAUGAGCCGAUGUCGGAUUAGCUAGUUGGCGGGGUAAAGGCCCACCAAGGCGACGAUCCGUAGCUGGUCUGAGAGGAUGAUCAGCCACACUGGAACUGAGACACGGUCCAGACUCCUACGGGAGGCAGCAGUGGGGAAUAUUGGACAAUGGUCGCAAGCCUGAUCCAGCCAUACCGCGUGGGUGAAGAAGGCCUUCGGGUUGUAAAGCCCUUUUGUUGGGAAAGAAAAGCAGCAGGUUAAUACCCCGCUGUUCUGACGGUACCCAAAGAAUAAGCACCGGCUAACUUCGUG